GGCUGGGGUCUUGCACAGGCCUGGCUAGGAGGGAGGCAGGUGCUCAAAGACAUACAUGGGUCCCUGUUCUCAUGGUAGGUUCCAUUUGCUGCGGGCCCCUCCCAUGGUGCCAUCACUGAGUGCCCACACACGCCAGAGGUUGCAAGCUGGCAGUCCUCAGAAGCGCUUUGAUGGCUCACCGUAUUUUUUCAGGGUGCUUUUAUAUCCUCCACCGCAAGUCCUCAGGAGGUGGGCACAGACGGCUAGGCUGGUUGGGCAGUAACCUGACUAAACGUCCUGCCCCAGGAGUCUGUCCCCGCCCCUCUCAGACCCAGCCCUGAUCACAGGUUUGUCACCUCCUGGCUCCCUAUGGCAUCUGAGACCCUGUCAUCUGCCUCAACAAAGCAGACAAUGGUUUUCCCUGACAUUCCCACACCUCACCUUGGUCUGUCCUUCCCGCCUGCCCCCACCUCCAGCCUGAAUUUCUUCCUUCCCUCCCCACUUAUUUCAAGCCUAUUCUUCCCUGAAGGCCCUGCCUGCCUCUUCCUUCUCCUAAAAGGUCCCCGAAGACUUUAGUCCCUCCGUAGUCUCUCUCUUCUGUCCCCUACAGCCCUCACUGCCUAUAGACCACUAACUGCAAACUGACGCCAGAGAAGGAGUUGACUUUCCAGGGCAGUGGAAAGAGAGAAACAGGGAGAGGAUCCUACAUGUAUCAAGCUGAUGCUGGACACUUUGUCACGUCAUGAAUCCUCCUGGUGAGCAUGAACGUGACUCCCAGGAAGGAAGAGCCAGCACCCUUCCACCCGGAAGCCUGCAAAGCACCAGCGGGACCGGACGGCUUCACGCAGCCUAUGGCCAGUUCUUCAUACGGUCCUUGAUGGGGUCAAGCUGCUGGUGCCCACACCUUCAUACGGUCCUUGAUGGGGUCAAGCUGCUGGUGCCCACACCUUUGCUGGGCACCCUGCAUUGUUUCUGGACUCUUCCUCUGUUGUGGCCAGCUUCUGAGAUGACCUCUGAUGAGCCUCACCUCCAGUCCUCAUGCCCUAUGAUGUCUGUGGUCUGUUUACCUAGUGGAGUAAGGUGGAGGUGAUGGUGUGUGACUCCUGAGGCCAGGCCACCAAAGGCAUUGCAGUGCCCUCCUGCAUCUUUUGGAUUCUUGCCCUGGAGAAUGCCAGCUGACAUGUUGUGAGGACAUUCAAGCACCCUGCUGAGAGGAACUGAGACCGCCCACUAAUAGCCAUGCAGAUGAGCCUGGAGACAGACCUUCCAGCCCCAGGCGAGCCUUCAGAUGAUGGCAGCCAUGGCCAAUGACUGACAACAAACUCACGAAGAGAGCUGAGCCAGGACCACCCAGCCAAGACCCACAGAACCUGCAAGGGAUAAAUAAAAGAUAAUUGUUGCUUUAAGCCA
rnacentral:lncRNA from 1 species